GCCCGGGUGGUGGAAUUGGUAGACACGCUAGCUUGAGGGGCUAGUGGCCGUUAGGCUGUGCGAGUUCAAAUCUCGCCUCGGGCA
rnacentral:tRNA from 1 species